AGCACUUCUAAGCUAUGCGGAUACAUACCACACAGUAUCACUUCUUCGAUCAAAAAGUACCACUCGAUCAUGAUUGACUUGUGACAACGAAAGCAAAACUAAGAUUCCCGGUACGGAGUUUUCGGUGCGUGUAGAUAAUAGUCGAUCUAAAAGCUGCCAUUUAACUGGUUAAACAUUGCCCAUAUAACAUUUGGUCCGACGUUUUUUCCCCUGUUGCCAUCAUCCAAGGCUACCACCGAUGUUGUGACGGAACUACAACUAACUGCACAAUGACUGUGUUCAGCUAUGAAAGUGCGAUGAUAUAACGUCAAUUUAAAGGAAUAUUGGAGCGUUCUUGCGCCGCUAGCGCUGUCGUUAGUUAAAGAAGGAACCGUCGAGCAGCUUCCUUCGUACACCGAAGGAGAUAACAUCGUCAUUUUUCGUCAAACAAAACAUCGUUAAAUGAAUGAGACCAAGUAGAUUUAUAAAAACGGCUUCGUAAGUAGAGCAAGUAAAGUACGAGAACUAACGGACUGUCUAAACCUAAACUACACUGCUAGAGCUUGAAUGCCAUUAGUCAUACUUAUUACCAACUGCCGCCUUAUCGAACAGCUUAAGCGAUAUUAGCACGCCGAGACAAGGCACAUUUUAGAAUUUCGUCUGCUCACUGAAGGGGUUGCGACAAUUACAGCUUACACAAGGGUCAUCAAACGGAACUCGUAUUAAACGUCAUGCAGUAGCGAUUGGAGCGGGCCUCAUACCGUCGUAUCACACAAACGUUCUUUUGCUUAUUAUACGAGGUAGAGAGAUAACUCAAAUAUGAUAAGCGCUAAUCUUAUUCUCAACCCGACCACGCCGCUUCUUAUCUAGAUAGGCAUUCAAAGCUAUGAAAAAUGUAGAGGAACAAUGGAAGGUCCAAUCAAGAAAGUUUUCAAUGUUCGUUGGAUCAAAGUGUGCUAUUUUGAAAUAUCAAGCAAGUUUGUACGGAUAUGCAGCAAAACGUCCUAUAGUAGAAACAAGAGUCUUGAGGCACUGCUACUCGAAAACGAACGAAGGCAAGGAUAAAGGUGCCCCGAAAAGGGAUUCCAUCUUCCUCUAUGAACACCGUGUUCCUUUCACCAUAGGGCGUUCCAGUGCUGACAAAUAUAUAAUAAAUUCAUGAUAUUAUUGUCUCAGAC
rnacentral:lncRNA from 11 species